AAAUAUGCUGGCAUAUAUAUAUGUAUAUUUUACCAUAAUAUAUAUAUAUUUUUUUUAACCAUAUACCAUAUAUGGUAUGCUUCUGGCAUAUAGUAGAUGUUGAAAGAAGGAUGUUUCCCUACAUUCUUGACUCCAUGACCUCUAUUUUUUCCUAAUAGUUUCAGUAACUGCUCAGAGAUUAACUGAGGUGAUGAAAAAAAUCUAUGAGCUUAAUGCAGGUAACUAGAAUUAAACAAUAAUGGCACAAAUAAAUAGGUUGCAUGCAACCUAUUCUUUUGGGUCUGAGAGAAAGACACCAUCUCAAAAAACAUACCCUGGAACUCAGAUGCCAGGAGACUACAUGCUUAUGUAGUCUUUUCUCAUCUCACAAUAACUAAGCUGAAUUUGCAUUGCAUAAAUGAUAUGCCUGUGUUUACAUCAAAUGUCUUUUUCCAGCAUAGUAGUUCUCAACCUUUUUUCCUUUGGGAAUACACGUGACAUUAACAUAAAUUAGCAUAUCUGACAUUCUCUCUGGGGGGCGAUUCAGCGACUUCCCUAAUUCCUGAUAGGCACUUCUUUCUCUCCCACUCUAGAAAUCCUACUGGAAAAGAGAUGGUGAAGGUGACAUUAUACAGAUAACUUCUCUAAUUCUUUUCCAAAUAAAUUAUCUACAAAUUUUAGCAAAUCAUCCACCAAUGUUCUGCUCAUAACAUAUCUGAAACUUGGGUGGUAAAAUACUCAGUUUAAAAGUUGCUCUCCCAGGGGAUGCUGUGGUCAUGACAAUUCAGAAUGGUUACAACACUCUGAGUCCACCAGACCUGGAGAUCCAAGUAGACUUUCGCAGUCUCCAACAUCUAAGCUAGGUGCUUCUAGGUGCUCUGACCCAGAGUGGAGGCACAAAGUCAGGAUGCAUUUUCUCUGCGUACUUACACUGAACAAAAAAGUCUAUGUUCACGUCAGUGUGUUGGAACUAAUGGUUAUCUGGCCUCAGUGUCACUGAGGCAAAGCACUGACAUAUGAACAAAACCACUCCAGGCUUCCUGUCUUCCAACAUAUUCUAUCUAUAUAGUCUUGCCAUCGACUGUCAAUUCUGUCUAACCACCAGAAGCUUCCUCCCACAUCUUUAUGCACUUAAGCAUUCUAUUCAACAGAUCAGAUCGACUCUCCCCUCUGGUCAAAGCCAUUUAUUAUCCGUCGUAAGUAAUGUGACUAUGGGGGAUGCUACCUGGGGCCACUGGAAACCUGCCAUGGUUUACAGCCUUGGAACAGACUCAGGAAUUGUAAGUUAAACCUCUUUAAGCCAAACCCAAACCUUUUAUAAUUGAAAUUACAAUAAAUCACACCUCCUAAAUCUUCCUGGAGCAGACUCAAGAAAGGUCUCCUCUUGGUCUAACUGCCAAAGAGCUUCCUAAUAAGGGAGCCAGAUCAAGAAGGACAAUUUGAACUUUAGCUGUGCCUCUGGCUAAUGCAGGGAGUAUUAGAGGGUCUGUUCUUAUAUUAUGGAGGCAAGGAAUAGAGAUAGAUAGAAUAGAAGGACGAGGCAAAACUGUAGAUGUCAAUGGCUCCCUCUCUAAGAUCAAGUUCACACACCCAAGUGUGAUGUAUAUUGUCCCCAGGAUCUGUCCUGCCCUAAAGGAAUGUGUCCUUCCAGGAUGGCACUUACCUUUGUGCAUUGCAAUGAUUCAAAUGCAUUUCCCUUUGGGUUAUGAGGGCCUCAAGGGCAGACAUCAUGACUUAGCAAACUGUAAUUCUUAGUGACCAUCAGAAGCCCAGAGGGUGUGUCAUCAAUUCUGAAAAAUGAGCAAAGUCACUGCAGGAAAGCUGCAUAUAAGCCAUCAGGGCAAAUUUGAGAAGAGAACCUCAGAUUGUGCAUAAUCGGAACAAUUCGAGGGCAUAUCCUUUUCUUCUAGAAGGAGUGUAAGUACAUUAGGGAAGGCUGUUAUAAACUGAACACAAAACAUCGAGCUUCAGUUUUCUCCUAGAGAUACAUCAAGAUCUGUGAUCCCGUCUAAACUCUCACUUAGAAUAGUAGUUACAUUCCAUUUAUGUGCCAUAAAAGAAAACAGAUACAAUUUCUUUACAGGUGCACUUGUUUCUAAAAUAAUGUUCCUCCAACUUGAAUGCCCGCCAUAUUUAUCAGACAUGGCUUCAGGGCAACUUUUAAUAUCUCCCCCAAACAAAUUCACCCUCCAAGGAUGAAGAUGUGCCCAUGUUUGAAGAUAUUUAAAGAACAAUGUCCAUACAUAAUUAUAAAGAAUGGUUCCCCAAACCAUUCCCAAUGCUUUGGGGCAACUUUUCAGUGUCUUGGAGAUAAGCAUAUAUCUAUUAAGAAGACGGCUUUGAGGACAGUGGUGAAGCUUUAGAAUUACACAUUCUGAUGGGCUACAGAAAAAUAACCAACUUACUAUGAACUGCUUACUAUGAACCAAACAUUCUGUUAGCCACAGGUACCUGAAAAUAACCAUACCCACAAGAGUUAGUAUUUAUCGAGUGCUCACUAUCUUUCAGCCAUGGUGCUAAGAGUUAUUUUAUUUUAUUCUCCAUUUUUUUACAGACAAGAAAACUGAGAAAAAAAAAAAAGAAAACUGAGGAUGAAAAAAAAACUACAUAUUUUGCUAAGGUUACAAAUCCACAAGAAUCAAGAUUCACCGGAAAAUUAACUGGCUUAUUUGUAAUUACUAUGAUUUAUAUGCUACCUCAUGAGCUUCGCUCUUAACCACUGCAAUACAGCUUCUAGAUUUUUCCUAAAAUAUUAUAGGAACACAUGGAUUCUAAUUUAUGCUUCUUUUCAAUUAAAACAUUGUCUAAUUCAGUGCUCAAUAACACUAUCAGUGGCAGUGGUCCCAUCAAGACAAGGAAGGAGGACAAAUAAGAACAACAGGCCAAAGUGACAAGAGAUGGUUCAGCUCAUAUACUCCCCCAACAAAAGCCAUGCUCAUUGGACCCAGCAGCAGAGACAGAGAGAAAGUCCCUAGGUGGCUUCCUGCCAGCGACAGAAUGGUUCAUUGAGACUUGCUUGCUACUUCAUUCCAGCCCCCCCACCCCGCCUUCCCCUCCUUCUUAAGACUUUCCCAGGUCCCUCUUGGCUGUGGUUGAACGACGUUGGCUCCUGUCCAUGCUGCAACAAAGACCUGGCAUUCCAGCUGUCUGCGUCUAAUCUCCAGUGUCAGCUCUCGUUAAUGUGUGAGCGUGAAAUCAGAGGGGGCAGAGCUGCACGGAAUAUUAAAACCAUGAUCAGAAUUCCGCUGAAACGCUGAGAGUCUGCAAGCACCAUUAGAGGAGGCUGUCAAAUCACGGCUUCGCAUUAAAUAAAAGAAAAGAUUUCUAUCAGAGGAAAGUACAAUCAGUGAA